GUUGGGUAGGGGAGCGUUCUGUAAGCCUGCGAAGGUGUACUGUGAGGUAUGCUGGAGGUAUCAGAAGUGCGAAUGCUGACAUAAGUAACGAUAAUGCGGGUGAAAAACCCGCACGCCGGAAGACCAAGGGUUCCUGUCCAACGUUAAUCGGGGCAGGGUGAGUCGACCCCUAAGGCGAGGCUGAAAAGCGUAGUCGAUGGGAAACGGGUUAAUAUUCCCGUACUGGUGGUAACUGCGAUGGGGGAACGGAGAAGGCUAGGUUGUCCGGGCGACGGUCGUCCCGGUUCAAGCAGGUAGGCAGAGUGAUUAGGCAAAUCCGGUCACUUAAUGCUGAGAUGUGAUGACGAACCACCAAGGUGGUGAAGCAAUUGAUGCCCCGCUUCCAGGAAAAGCCUCUAAGCUUCAGGUUACCAACAAUCGUACCCCAAACCGACACAGGUGGUCAGGUAGAGAAUACUCAGGCGCUUGAGAGAACUCGGGUGAAGGAACUAGGCAAAAUGGUGCCGUAACUUCGGGAGAAGGCACGCUGGCGGUAGGUAAAGUCCCUUGCGGACGGCGCUGAAGCCAGUCGAAGAUACCAGCUGGCUGCAACUGUUUAUUAAAAACACAGCACUGUGCAAACACGAAAGUGGACGUAUACGGUGUGACGCCUGCCCGGUGCUGGAAGGUUAAUUGAUGGGGUUAGCGUAAGCGAAGCUCCUGAUCGAAGCCCCAGUAAACGGCGGCCGUAACUAUAACGGUCCUAAGGUAGCGAAAUUCCUUGUCGGGUAAGUUCCGACCUGCACGAAUGGCGUAAUGAUGGCCAGGCUGUCUCCACCCGAGACUCAGUGAAAUUGAACUCGCUGUGAAGAUGCAGUGUACCCGCGGCAAGACGGAAAGACCCCGUGAACCUUUACUAUAGCUUGACACUGAACAUUGAGCCUUGAUGUGUAGGAUAGGUGGGAGGCUUUGAAGUGUGGACGCCAGUCUGCAUGGAGCCAACCUUGAAAUACCACCCUUUAACGUUUGAUGUUCUAACCUAGGCCCAUAAACUGGGUCGGGGACCGUGUCUGGUGGGUAGUUUGACUGGGGCGGUCUCCUCCUAAAGAGUAACGGAGGAGCACGAAGGUUGGCUAAGCAUGGUCGGACAUCAUGCGGUUAGUGCAAAGGCAUAAGCCAGCUUGACUGCGAGAGUGACGGCUCGAGCAGGUACGAAAGUAGGUCUUAGUGAUCCGGUGGUUCUGAAUGGAAGGGCCAUCGCUCAACGGAUAAAAGGUACUCCGGGGAUAACAGGCUGAUACCGCCCAAGAGUUCAUAUCGACGGCGGUGUUUGGCACCUCGAUGUCGGCUCAUCACAUCCUGGGGCUGAAGUAGGUCCCAAGGGUAUGGCUGUUCGCCAUUUAAAGUGGUACGCGAGCUGGGUUUAGAACGUCGUGAGACAGUUCGGUCCCUAUCUGCCGUGGGCGUUGGAAGAUUGAGAGGGGUUGCUCCUAGUACGAGAGGACCGGAGUGAACGCACCACUGGUGUUCGGGUUGUCAUGCCAAUGGCAUUGCCCGGUAGCUAAGUGCGGAAGAGAUAACCGCUGAAAGCAUCUAAGCGGGAAACUUGCCUCGAGAUGAGUCUUCCCUGUCGCUUUAAGCGACCUAAAGGAACGUUUAAGACUAAGACGUUGAUAGGCUGGGUGUGUAAGCGUAGCGAUACGUUGAGCUAACCAGUACUAAUGAACCGUGAGGCUUAACCUG
rnacentral:rRNA from 1 species